rnacentral:rRNA from 1 species
UUUAAGCGUGUAGGCUGGUUUUCCAGGCAAAUCCGGAAAAUCAAGGCUGAGGCGUGAUGACGAGGCACUACGGUGCUGAAGCAACAAAUGCCCUGCUUCCAGGAAAAGCCUCUAAGCAUCAGGUAACAUUAAAUCGUACCCCAAACCGACACAGGUGGUCAGGUAGAGAAUACCAAGGCGCUUGAGAGAACUCGGGUGAAGGAACUAGGCAAAAUGGUGCCGUAACUUCGGGAGAAGGCACGCUGAUAUGUAGGUGAAGUCCCUCGCGGAUGGAGCUGAAAUCAGUCGAAGAUACCAGCUGGCUGCAACUGUUUAUUAAAAACACAGCACUGUGCAAACACGAAAGUGGACGUAUACGGUGUGACGCCUGCCCGGUGCCGGAAGGUUAAUUGAUGGGGUUAGCGGUAACGCGAAGCUCUUGAUCGAAGCCCCGGUAAACGGCGGCCGUAACUAUAACGGUCCUAAGGUAGCGAAAUUCCUUGUCGGGUAAGUUCCGACCUGCACGAAUGGCGUAAUGAUGGCCAGGCUGUCUCCACCCGAGACUCAGUGAAAUUGAACUCGCUGUGAAGAUGCAGUGUACCCGCGGCAAGACGGAAAGACCCCGUGAACCUUUACUAUAGCUUGACACUGAACAUUGAGCCUUGAUGUGUAGGAUAGGUGGGAGGCUUUGAAGUGUGGACGCCAGUCUGCAUGGAGCCGACCUUGAAAUACCACCCUUUAAUGUUUGAUGUUCUAACGUUGACCCGUAAUCCGGGUUGCGGACAGUGUCUGGUGGGUAGUUUGACUGGGGCGGUCUCCUCCUAAAGAGUAACGGAGGAGCACGAAGGUUGGCUAAUCCUGGUCGGACAUCAGGAGGUUAGUGCAAUGGCAUAAGCCAGCUUGACUGCGAGCGUGACGGCGCGAGCAGGUGCGAAAGCAGGUCAUAGUGAUCCGGUGGUUCUGAAUGGAAGGGCCAUCGCUCAACGGAUAAAAGGUACUCCGGGGAUAACAGGCUGAUACCGCCCAAGAGUUCAUAUCGACGGCGGUGUUUGGCACCUCGAUGUCGGCUCAUCACAUCCUGGGGCUGAAGUAGGUCCCAAGGGUAUGGCUGUUCGCCAUUUAAAGUGGUACGCGAGCUGGGUUUAGAACGUCGUGAGACAGUUCGGUCCCUAUCUGCCGUGGGCGCUGGAGAACUGAGGGGGGCUGCUCCUAGUACGAGAGGACCGGAGUGGACGCAUCACUGGUGUUCGGGUUGUCAUGCCAAUGGCACUGCCCGGUAGCUAAAUGCGGAAGAGAUAAGUGCUGAAAGCAUCUAAGCACGAAACUUGCCCCGAGAUGAGUUCUCCCUGACUCCUUGAGAGUCCUGAAGGAACGUUGAAGACGACGACGUUGAUAGGCCGGGUGUGUAAGCGCAGCGAUGCGUUGAGCUAACCGGUACUAAUGAACCGUGAGGCUUAACCUUACAACGCCGAAGGUGUUU